GGUUCGGUGGUGGAUGGUCCACAUCUGCUCUCUUUAUACGGUGCGAAAAAACAGUUAGCAGGAGGAGCCUGUUCGAAUCAGGCCCGAGUCA